rnacentral:rRNA from 1 species
AUUGAACGCUGGCGGCAGGCCUAACACAUGCAAGUCGAACGAGUGGCGGACGGGUGAGUAAUGUCUGGGAAACUGCCCGAUGGACGGGGAUAACUACUGGAAACGGUAGCUAAUACCGCAUACCAUUGGAUGUUCCCAGAUGGGAUUGGCUAGUAGGUGGGGUAAAGUCUCACCUAGGCGACGAUCCCUAGCUGGUCUGAGAGGAUGAGCAGACACCCGGGAACUGACACGCGGGACAGAAUCCUAAGGGAGGCAGCAGUGGGUAAUAUGGCGCAAUGGGCGAAGGCCUGAAGCCGCAAUGCCGCGUGUAUGAAGAAGGCCUUCUGGUUGUAGAGUACUUUCAGCGGGGAGGCGUUACCCGCAGAAGAAGCACCGGCUAACUCCGUGCCAGCAGCCGCGGUAAUAC